UACAGAGGUCUCAAGCGUUGUUCGGAUUCAUUGGGCGUAAAGGGUGCGUAGGUGGCGCCGUAAGUCGGGUGUGAAAUUUCGGAGCUUAACUCCGAAACUGCAUCGAUACUGCGGUGCUUGAGGACUGGAGAGGAGACUGGAAUUCAUGGUGUAGCAGUGAAAUGCGUAGAGAUCAUGAGGAAGACCAGUGGCGAAGGCGGGUCUCUGGACAGUUCCUGACACUGAGGCACGAAGGCCAGGGGAGCAAACGGG
rnacentral:rRNA from 1 species